GGGGUGUUAGGGCACGACACCGGAGAGGGAGCCUGAGAAACGGCUACCACAUCCAAGGAUGGCAGCAGGCGCGCAAAUUACCCAAUCCCGACACGGGGAGGUAGUGACAAUAAAUAACAAUACGGGGUUCUUUCGGAUCUCGUAAUUGGAAUGAGUACAAUUUAAAUCUCUUAACGAGGAACAAUUGGAGGGCAAGUCUGGUGCCAGCAGCCGGGGUAAUUCCAGCUCCAAUAGCGUAUAUUAAAGUUGUUGCAGUUAAAAAGCUCGUAGUUGAAUUUCGGGAUCAAAUUGUCGGUCGUGCUUCGGUACGCACUGGCAUUAUUGGUUUCUACCUUCUGAAGAACCGCGAUGUCAUUAAUUUGGUGUCGUGGGGAAUCAGGACUGUUGCUUUGAAAAAAUUAGAGUGUUUAAAGCAGGCGCACGCUUGAAUACAUUAGCAUGGAAUAAUGAAAUAGGACGUUUGAUUCUAUUUUGUUGGUUUCUAGGAUCGACGUAAUGAUUAAUAGGGAUAGUUGGGGGCAUUAGUAUUCAAUUGUCAGAGGUGAAAUUCUUGGAUUUAUUGAAGACUAACUACUGCGAAAGCAUUUGCCAAGGAUGUUUUCAUUAAUCAAGAACGAAAGUUAGGGGAUCGAAGACGAUCAGAUACCGUCGUAGUCUUAACCAUAAACUAUGCCGACUAGGGAUCGGAUGAUGUUAAUUUUAUAAUGACUCAUUCGGCGCCUUACGGGAAACCA
rnacentral:rRNA from 1 species